GGGGACAUAACUCAGCUGGGAGAGCAACAGACUGAAGACGGAACGUUUGUGUAUUCUGGAGGUCCCCAGUUCAAUCCUGGGUGUCCCCA